GCAAUGUCUACAAGUUUAAAUUCCUUAACCCUGUUCAAGGUGUAUACACACUCAAUAUUUAACUACAGUCCAGGUUUGCAAUUAACAAACUAUCUGAAAAGCCUGUGUGUGAGUCAGAUGUGUCUGCGGCUAAUCUAUUGGUUAUAAAAUAUCACAGCCUUUUCUGAUUGGCUGAGUUCAAAUACAGAAAGUUUACCUGUUAGAUUGAAAUUCUGGAGAAGGCGUAUUGAAGAAAAAAUGCAGGUUAAACUUGUUGUUAAAAUGAAGUUAAUGUAAUUUCACAAACAGUAGAGUUAAUGAGUUUUUCCAUUAACAAGAAUUUCUUAAAAUAAUAAUGUAUGGAUAUCAUUUGGAAAGUGACAUGAAAUGUUGUUAAAAAGUGAUGCAUACAAGUGUUUCAGAAGUCUGUCUAGGAAUAGAACAACAACUGAAGCUGACCAGUUGAUGGAAGAUACUGCAGAGUUUGGCAGGGAAAUAACCCAAGACAGCAAAGCGGCUCUUUUGGCGCAUUUACCAAGAGGACUAACAUGGCCACAAAUUCAUGAGAUCAUGCAGGAGCCCUACAGUAUAACAGCAGUACAAGUUCUAUAAAAGAUCCACGACCUACUGAAGCCCAGCUAAUUAACAAAAAAGUUUUUAAAAACUGUAAUUUUAUCCCACCUGGGUACUUAUAAUUUACUAAGCUGCCUACACAAGUUUUAGAUUUGCAAUUAUAUUUUAAAUUGUCACUUGGAAAGUAAUACAUGUACAUCUAUUAUGUUCUGAAUUUCUUUGAACAAUAAAAUUAUAUAAAAGUAUUUUAAUGAAAUUAAGCACCUAAAUUGCAUUAAAGUGAAAGUAGCUGAGAACAAGAUGUGUUUGUGAAACACAAUGUCCCCCUAUAUGACGUUUGACCUUGAAGGAUGACCUUGACCUUGACCCUUCACCACUCAAAAUGUGCAGCUCCAUGAGAUACACAUGCAUGUCAAAUAUAAAAUUGCUAGCUUCAAUAUUGCAGAAGUUGCAUUACAUGAGCAAUUUUGACCCAUAUAUUUGACUUGGAAGGAUGACCUUGACCUUGACCUUUCACCACUCAAAAUGUGCAGCUCCAUAAGUUACACAUGCAUGCCAAAUAUCAAGUUGCUAUCUUCAAUAUUGCAAAAGUUUUCAUAAAAUAAGCGAUUUGGGCCACAUAUAUUUGACCUCUGACCUUGAAGGAUGACCUUGACCUUUCACCACUCAAAAUGUGCAGCUCUAUAAGUUACACAUGCAUGCCAAAUAUCAAGUUGCUAUCUUUAAUAUUGCAAAAGUAUUCAUAAAAUAAGCGAUUUGGGCCACAUAUAUUUGACCUCUGACCUUGAAGUAUGACCUUGACCUUUCACCACUCAAAAUGUGCAGCUCCAUGAGAUACACAUGCAUGCCAAAUAUCAAGUUGCUAUCUUCAAUAUUGCAAAAGUAUUCAUAAAAUGAGCGAUUUUGGCCACAUAUAUUUGACCUCUGACCUUGAAGGAUGACCCUGACCUUUCACCACUCAAAAUGUGCAGCUCCAUGAGAUACACAUGCAUGCCAAAUAUCAAGUUGCUAUCUUCAAUAUAGCAAAAGUUAUUGCAAAAUGUUAAAGUUGGUGCAAACCAACCAACCAACCAACAGACCAACCAACCAACAGACUAACCAACAGACAGGGCAAAAACAAUAUGUCCCCCACUACUAUAGUGGGGGACAUAAAAAUAUUAUCCUUGUGCUCAUGUUCAGCUACAUAUAUUGUGACAUACAUGAAGCAGCUAAAAAUAACUUAAAUUUUUCAUUUUGUUUCUUGUAUAUCGUUUGUACAGGGUUCGUGAAUUGUUACUGUAUAUUACUUGACUUGCUUGUAUUUUGUUACUUUGAAUACAUGUUGUGAAGGUUGCAUUAUACUUUUUAACUUUUAAAGGAGCGCUUGUUCUGUUAUGUAAGGGCCUGAUUUAUGAUUAUGGACCUAGAGGCUUUGUAAGCAUGUAUUAAACAACACUUGUUUGAUCUGAAUAAUUUGUUAAAUAAAUGUAACACAAUUUGUAAUCUGAUGUUAUAUUUUGAUGAAUUGUGAACAAAAUAAUACAUCGAAGAAACUAA